rnacentral:snRNA from 1 species
AUACCUUUCUCGGCCUUUUUGCUAAGAUCAAGUGUAGUAUUUUUUCUUCUCAAUUUAAGAGGGAUUGGACAAAGAUCACCGGAUUAAUUUUUCAAGAUUAAACAUAUAAAAACAGUUCACAGUAGUGUUAUUUAGCCUUUAACAAUUAACGAGAACAUUUAUUGAAGCAUAAGGAUCACUGA